rnacentral:rRNA from 1 species
GAUGAACGCUAGCGGGAGGCCUAACACAUGCAAGCCGAGCGGUAGAAUCUUUUCGGAGAUUGAGAGCGGCGUACAGGUGAGGAACACGUGUGCAACCUGCCUUUAUCUGGGAGAUAGCCUUUCGAAAGGAAGAUUAAUAUCCCAUAAUAUAUUGAUUGGCAUCACUUAAUAUUGAAAGCUCCGGCGGAUAGAGAUGGGCACGCGCAAGAUUAGAUAGUUGGUGAGGUAACGGCUCACCAAGUCUACGAUCUGUAGGGGGCCUGAGAGGGUGAUCCCCCACACUGGUACUGAGACACGGACCAGACUCCUACGGGAGGCAGCAGUGAGGAAUAUUGGACAAUGGGUGCAAGCCUGAUCCAGCCAUCCCGCGUGAAGGAUUAAGGUCCUAUGGAUUGUAAACUUCUUUUAUACAGGGAUAAACCUCUCCUCGUGAGGAGAGCUGAAGGUACUGUAUGAAUAAGCACCGGCUAACUCCGUGCCAGCCGCCGCCGUAA